AAGCGGUCAAUCUAUAUAUCAAUCAAAGAGACAGAGUAUCCGCAAUGUUUUAAUUCCAAGGCAAGGUAGAGGCUGAGCAUAUGAAAAGCACAAAAUGAGAACAGCAUCGCACAGAAAUGCAAGGUAGACAACAAAUGCAUCUCGACUUACAAAUAAAUUGUAAAAAAUAUUGUAACAAAUACAGAGAGAACACAGACAACGCACACAUCGCAAGAGUUGGCAGAAGCCGACAAGCUGCUGAAGUAUGACACACUAGGCCGGUGGGUAGCUAAGGAUC
rnacentral:lncRNA from 1 species